rnacentral:lncRNA from 1 species
AUAAUUCAUACAAUAGAUAUACUAUAUGAACAUAGUGAAGAAUCUAAAUAUGAUAAAAUAUACAUACACUGAAAAAUCUAUGUAUUUGUAAUAAAGAACUAAAUUCUUUUUUUAUUCGUUCAAUUGUAUCAAUUUUAUUUGGAUUUUAUUUUCUUCCAUAAAAUCUACAUAAAUAUCCAAUAAUUACAACCUCUUAUAUUCCAAAUAUAGAUUUUAUACUUCAUAAUGUACGAUGAACUUUUUCAUGCCAAAUUAAUAUUUUUUUAUAAUCUUAUAUAUGAUCAAGAACCUACUUGCCACACCUCGUCUUAUCUAAAGUUCCAUCCUUGUCUUCUUCUUUGUAUCUCUUAAUAAGAAAAUCAUCUAAAAAAGGCAUAGU